GACAGAGGUCCCGAGCGUUAGGCGGAAUCACUGGGCUUAAAGCGUGUGUAGGCGGAUUUGUAAGUACCUUGUGAAAUCCCACGGCUUAACCGUGGAACUGCUUGGUAUACUGCUUAUCUUGAGCCACUUAGGGGCAACCGGAACAAACGGUGGAGCGGUGAAAUGCGUAGAUAUCGUUUGGAACGCCAAUGGUGAAAACAGGUUGCUGGGAGUGCGCUGACGCUGAGACACGAAAGCCAGGGGAGCAAACAGG
rnacentral:rRNA from 1 species